CUAAUACAUGCAAGUCGAGCGAACAGACGAGGAGCUUGCUCUCUGAUUCAGCGGCGGACGGGUGAGUAAUGCCUAGGAAUCUGCCUGGUAGUGGGGGACAACGUUUCGAAAGGAACGCUAAUACCGCAUACGUCCUACGGGAGAAAGUGGGGGAUCUUCGGACCUCACGCUAUCAGAUGAGCCUAUGUCGGAUUAGCUAGUUGGUGGGGUAACGGCUCACCAAGGCGACGAUCCGUAACUGGUCUGAGAGGAUGAUCAGUCACACUGGAACUGAGACACGGUCCAGACUCCUACGGGAGGCAGCAGUGGGGAAUAUUGGACAAUGGGCGAAAGCCUGAUCCAGCCAUGCCGCGUGUGUGAAGAAGGCCCUCGGGUCGUAAAGCACUUUAAGCUGGGAGGAAGGGUUGUAACCUAAUACGUUGCAGCUUUGACGUUACCAGCAGAAUAAGCACCGGCUAACUCUGUGCCAGCAGCCGCGGUAAUACAGAGGGUGCAAGCGUUAAUCGGAAUUACUGGGCGUAAAGCGCGCGUAGGUGGCUUGGUAAGUUGAAUGUGAAAUCCCCGGGCUCAACCUGGGAACUGCAUCCAAAACUGCCUGGCUAGAGUACGGUAGAGGGUGGUGGAAUUUCCUGUGUAGCGGUGAAAUGCGUAGAUAUAGGAAGGAACACCAGUGGCGAAGGCGACCACCUGGACUGAUACUGACACUGAGGUGCGAAAGCGUGGGGAG
rnacentral:rRNA from 1 species